GGGUCCCGGAGUCCUCAAGGCUUAAAAGGGAAUCAGGUGAAACUCCUGAACAGUCCCGCUGCUGUAAUCCUCGCAAAGCAGGCAUCAUAACCACUGCACUAUGUGGUGUGGGAAGGGAUGUCUGUAUGAGGUAAGUCAGAAGACCUGCAAGGC
rnacentral:ncRNA from 1 species